ACAGCUUCGGAAGAUGGGUGAAUUUCUAGUGUCAAGUUACGGAACCUUGACUAGAUUUUCACUUAUCCUUUGCGGCUGU
ncrna:Heliconius melpomene (postman butterfly) microRNA hme-mir-279c precursor